rnacentral:rRNA from 1 species
AGUCACUGACAUUAGAUACCCCUGUAGUCCAGGGUGUGAACGCUGCAGACUUGGUGUUGGAGGCCCUUUGGGGGCAUUCAGUGUCCGGAGAGAAGUUGUUAAGUCUGCUACUUGGGGAGUACGUCCGCAAGGAUGAAACUUAAAGGAAUUGGCGGGGGAGCACCGCAACGGGAGGAGCGUGCGGUUUAAUUGGAUUCAACACCGUAAAACUCACCAGGGAAGACUGUUACAUGAAGGCCGAGAUGAAGACUCUGCUAGAUUUUCAG